rnacentral:rRNA from 1 species
AGGUGUAGCAAUACAUGCUGACGAGCAGCGGACGGGUGAGCAAUGUUUGGGAAUCUGCCUAUUAGCGGGGGACAACCCGGGGAAACUCGGGCUAAUACCGCAUACGCUCUACGGAGGAAAGCCGGGGACCGCAAGGCCUGGCGCUAAUAGAUGGGCCCAAAUCGGAUUAGCUAGUUGGUGAGGUAACGGCUCACCAAGGCGACGAUCCGUAGCUGGUUUGAGAGAACGACCAGCCACACCGGAACUGAGACACGGUCCGGACUCCUACGGGAGGCAGCAGUGGGGAAUAUUGGACAAUGGGGGCAACCCUGAUCCAGCGACGCCGCGUGGGUGAAGAAGGCCUGCGGGUUGUAAAGCCCUUUCGGUGGGGAUAAAAAGCCUUGGUCUAACACACCAGGGUCUUGAUCUAACCCAAGAAAGAAGCACCGGCUAACUCUGUGCCAGCAGCCGCGGUAAUACAGAGGGUGCGAGCGUUAAUCGGAAUUACUGGGCGUAAAGCGCACGUAGGUGGCUUUGCAAGUCGAUUGUGAAAUCCCCGGGCUUAACCUGGGAACUGCAGUCGAGACUGCUUUGCUUGAGUAUGGGAGAGGGAGGUGGAAUUUCCGGUGUAGCGGUGAAAUGCGUAGAUAUCGGAAGGAACAUCAGUGGCGAAGCGACCUCCUGGACCAAUACUGACACUCAAGUGCGAAAGCGUGGGGAGCAAACAGGAUUAGAUACCCUGGUAGUCCACGCCAUAAACGAUGAGAACUAGAUGUCGAGGGGUCUGCCCUUCGGUGUCGUAGCUAACGCGUUAAGUUCUCCGCCUGGGGAGUACGGCCGCAAGGUUGAAACUCAAAUGAAUUGACGGGGACCCGCACAAGCGGUGGAGCAUGUGGUUUAAUUCGAUGCAACGCGAAGAACCUUACCUGGUCUUGACAUGUCUGGAAUCCUGCAGAGAUGCGGGAGUGCCUUCGGGAACCAGAACACAGGUGCUGCAUGGCUGUCGUCAGCUCGUGUCGUGAGAUGUUGGGUUAAGUCCCGCAACGAGCGCAACCCUUGCCCUUAGUUGCCAGCAUUUAGUUGGGAACUCUAAGGGGACCGCCGGUGACAAACCGGAGGAAGGUGGGGAUGACGUCAAGUCAUCAUGGCCCUUAUGACCAGGGCUACACACGUGCUACAAUGGUCGGUACAGAGGGUUGCCAAGUCGCGAGACGGAGCCAAUCCCAGAAAGCCGAUCGUAGUCCGGAUUGCAGUCUGCAACUCGACUGCAUGAAGUCGGAAUCGCUAGUAAUCGCGAAUC